CGACCUCAGAUCAGACGGCAGACAACCCGCUGAACUUAAGCAUAUCAGUAAGCGGAGGAAAAGAAACUAACCAGGAUUCCCUAGUAGCGGCGAGCGAAGAGGGAAAAGCCCAGCGCCGACUCCCGCCGCCCAGUCGGGCGCGGGACAUGUGGCGACGGAAGAUUGUUUUCCCGGGUGUCGGCGUGGGGGCCCGAGUCCUUCUGAUUGAGGCUCAACCCAGGGACGGUGUGAGGCCGGUAGCGCCCUGCCGCGCCGGCGCAGCCUCCCGGAGUCGGGUUGCUUGGGAAUGCAGCCCAAAGUGGGUGGUAAACUCCAUCUAAGGCUAAAUACUGGCACGAGACCGAUAGUCGACAAGUACCGUAAGGGAAAGUUGAAAAGAACUUGAAGAGAGAGUUCAACAGGGCGUGAAACCGUUAAGAGGUAAACGGUGGGGUCCGCGUAGUCUGCCCGGGGACUCAACCGCGGGUCAUGGUACGGCGGCUCGGUGUCGUGUGGAUCGUCUAGUCGGCGACCACCGCCCUGUCGCCUCCGCCCCGCCGGGCAUUUUCUCCGCUGGUGCGCCGCGACCGGCUCUGGGUCGGCUUGGAAGAGUUUGGGGGUGAAGGUGGCCGGAGGCUCGACCGCCUCUGGCUUUACAGCACUCUCUGCUCCGACCUCGUCGCUUCCUGGGGCCGUGGACGCAGUACUCGCUGUGCCUUCCUCCUCCCACCCGGGGGACGGGCCCCUCGCCCGGCGUGACUGUCAACCGGACGGACUGUCCUCAGUGCGCCCCAACCGCUGCGCCGCUCAGGGCGGGACCGCUCACGACACUCGGGCGCAAGGGGUCAGCGGCGAUGUCGGCUACCCACCCGACCCGCCUUGAAACACGGACCAAGGAGUCUAACGAUGCGCGAGUCAGAGGGUCCUACGAAACCCCGCGCGUAAUGAAAGUGAGGGCCGGGCGCGCGCCGGCCGAGGUGGGAUCCCGCCCCCGGGCUCGGGCGCACCACCGCCCGCCUCCGCCUGCUCCUACGGGAGGUGGAGCUUGAGCGAUGCGAUAGUACCCGAAAGAUGGUGAACUAUGCCUGGGCAGGGCGAGCCAGAGGAAACUCUGGUGGAGGCCCGUAGCGGUCCUGACGUGCAAAUCGGUCGUCCGACCUGGGCAUAGGGGCGAAGACUAAUCGAACCAUCUAGUAGCUGGUUCCUCCGAAGUUUCCUCAGGAUAGCUGGCGCCAUUACUCGCAGUUUUAUCUGGUAAAGCUAAUGACUAGAGGCCUUGGGGCCAAACGAUCUCAACCUAUUCUCAAACUUUAAAUAGUAAGAGGCCCUGCUCGCUGGCUUGGAGCAGGGCGUGAAUGCGAGUGCCCAGUGGGCCACUUUUGGUAAGCAGAACUGGGCGCCUGGGAUGAACCGAACGCCGGGUUAAGGCGCCCAGGCUGCCGACGCUCCAUCAGACCCCAGAAAAGGUGUUGGUUGAUAUAGACAGCAGGACGGUGGCCAUGGAAGUCUGAAUCCGCUAUGGAGUGUGUAACAACUCACCUGCCAAUCAACUGCCCUGAAAAUGGAUGGCGCUGGAGCCGGGGGGCCCAUACUCGCCGCCGCUGGCGAUCGAGCUACGGCAUCGCCACGAGUAGGAGGGCCGUGAGCACGGAAGCCUAGGGCGUGUCCGGUGGAGCCAGCCAGGGGUGCAGAUCUUGGUGGUAGUAGCAAAUAUUCAAACGAACUUUGAAGGCCAGGGGAGAAGGGUUCCACGAAUGCAGCAGUUGAACAUGGGUCAGUCGGUCCUAAGAGAUUGGCGAACGCCGUUCAAAAGUGCGGGCGAUGGGCCUCCGCCGCCCUGCUUCAUCGAAAGGGAGUCGGGUUCAGAUCCCCGAAUCUGGAGAGGCGGAGAUAGGCGCCGCGAGGCGUCCAGUGCGGUAACGCAACGACCUCGAGAAGCUGGAGAGGGAGCCCGGGAAGAGUUCUCUUUGUGAAGGGCAGGCGCCUGGAAUGGGUUCGCCCGAGAUAGGGGCCGUGCCCUGAAAGCGCCGGGUUCCGCGGCGUCCGGUGAGCUUUCGCUGGCCCUGAAAAUCCGGGUGAGAAGGUGUAAUCUCGCACCAGGCCGUACUCCAUAUCCGUACAGGUCUCCAAGGUGAACAGCCUUCUGGCAUGAUGGAACAAGGGGUAAGGGAAGUCGCAAAUCCGGAUCCGGAAUUUCGGGAUAAGGAUUGGCUCUAAGGGCUGGGCCGGGCUGGGGUGCAAGCGGCUGGGCCUGCCUCGGCCAGGCAGCAGCUGUUGCUCUCCUGUCGCCCCCCCUGGUAAGGCCGGAAGGUGGUCCGAGGGUCUUCAGGCGCUGGCUCUCCGGGUCGGGUGUUGUGGGGUUUGAGGGACGCCCGACUGGGCGGGUCGGGUGUGGGUCUUCAGGCUCGGCGGCGUUGGCGGCGACUGAACUGUGUCGGCCUCUCGUGAUCUCCUCAGCUACGUGUCUGUAGCGGCUCCACCUGAGUCGUGGGCGUUCGCCCUGACCGGCACCAGCAGCUGA
ensembl:rRNA Eukaryotic large subunit ribosomal RNA